CCUACGGGGUGCAGCAGUGGGGGAUAUUGCACAAUGGGGGAAACCCUGAUGCAGCGACGCCGCGUGUGGGAAGACGGUCCUCUGGAUUGUAAACCACUGUCCCCAGGGACGAAGAUGACGGUACCUGGGGAGGAAGCUCCGGCUAACUACGUGCCAGCAGCCGCGGUAAUACGUAGGGGGCGAGCGUUGUCCGGAAUUACUGGGUGUAAAGGGAGCGUAGGCGGGGAUGCAAGUUGGGUGUCAAAACUACCGGCUCAACUGGUAGUCGCACUCAAAACUGCAGCUCUUGAGUGAAGUAGAGGGAGGCGGAAUGGCUGGUGUAGCGGUGAAAUGCGUAGAGAUUAGGAGGAACACCAGUGGCGAAGGCGGCCUGCUGGGCUUUUACUGACGCUGAGGCUCGAAAGUGUGGGGAGCAAACAGGAUUAGAUACCCCUGUAGUC
rnacentral:rRNA from 1 species